UUUCAUCAACCUUCAGAUGAAAUAGUUUGAUUUGGGAGGGUACUGUUUGCUAACAUACCUAGUCCCAGUUUCCACCUGCUGUAAAGAGAACAUGAACACUUUCAUUAAAGGGCUGGUCAUGUUUUUUAUUCAUUUUGGUGUUUCUGGGCUUUAACUGGGCCGGUUUAAGAAGAAUUUGCUGCUGCUUAUUGUAUUACAAUAAACCGUUACAGUAUUUGGACAUUCAACGUUUUUAUGUGAGUCAUGGUUGGUGGAAGGUGUACUGAAGAUGGAGUGUCUGGACUGAAAAAAGGCUAACCAGCUAUUUAGCUGCUCUGAUAGCUAGCCCACUAGCGAACAAGGGGCUAGCUUAGCUCCGCGGCAUUAACAUAAAUGUUCGCCGGUUAUUGUCGCACAAACUGGGCAACGCUUUCAGCAAACAGACCCUGCUUUCUGUCGAGACUGAGACCGAUUACUAUGAACUGAAGACUUGGCUUUAUCAGGUUGUCAAGCAAAGAAAAAGACGAAGGAAAGAAUGUGAGGAAGUAACAGAUGGAAGGACACAUGGAAAGCACGACAAAAGGACAGAAGAGAGGAAUGGAGGCAGGAAGACAGUUUGUUUUCAGUGUCAGAAGAGAAGCAGAGACGUGUGGGAAGCCGUCCAAUAGGAGUCGUGUCUAUAUUUUCAACUGAGGCAUGUGGAAAACAGCAGAUAACAGGAAGGCUCGUCCUACUGCAACAAAGUUGUAAAGAAAAUAAUAAUUUGAGAUAAUCAACAGACUUCCAGCUUUUUAUGGAAAGGUGGUGUGUAAAAUGAAUGUAGAGCAAAAACAUAAAUAGUCUCCAAUAAGUAAAUAAUUUGGGGCUCAACUGGUUUCCAUCUUAUCAGCCUAGUUUGGUUUUUUUUUAUUUCCAUGAGAUUCUGAUCAUGGUAUUAAGUUUGGGAACCAGAGGCCCAGUUAAACCUGAAUCCCCCCGUUCCCCCGCACUGCCCCCUCUCCCUCACAUCAGACCAGGUCAGGAAAGAGCGGAGGCGGCUGAAGCAGAGGAAAGCUGCAGGACCAGACGGCAUCAGUCCCAGGCUGCUGAAGACCUGUGCAGACCAGCUCUGUGAGGUCCUCAGCCACAUGUACAACCUGAGCCUCAGUCUGGAGAAGGUCCCUGUCCUGUGGAAGACCUCCUGUAUGGUUCUGGUUCCUAAAACAAUGCAUGCCAAAGAACCGGCCCACUACAGACCAGUAGCAUUGACCUCCCACCUGAUGAAGAUCCUGGAGAUGCUCACCCUCACCCACCUCUGCACUGUGGUGAGCCCCACCUUGGACCCGCUGCGGUUUGCCUACAGGCCAAACAUCAGAGUAGAGGACGCUGUCAUCUACGUGCUGCAGCUGGCGCUCACCCACCUAGAGACCGCUUUCAACACCAUCAGAUUGGCGCUGCUUCUGGGAAAGCUGGAGGACGUUGAUGGAUACCGUGCUGCCUGGACCAUUGAUUACCUCACUGACCUGCCACAGUACGUGAGGCUGGCAGCUGUGAGUCAGAGGCGGUAGUCUGCAGCACUGUGGCCCUGCAGGGCACUGUCCUGUCACCAUUUCUUUUCACCCUUUACAUCGUGGACUUCACCUACAACAAGGACAGCUGUCAUCUCCAGAAGCUUUCUGGCGACUCAGCCAUCGUGGGCUGUGUGUUUGAGGGGAACGAGCUAGAUCUUUAACAUGAGGUCGCACAUGGCUGUUCCUUGCAGAAACAAAUGAAAUAUCUCGUUAUAAAGUUUAGCUUUUUAAAGGUAGGAAAUUAAAACAGGAGCUAUAAUUGUUAUAUAAAGGAUAUACGCGGAUUUAUAAGGGUUUAAUUUAGAGACACCUCUGCUCCAUAACCUGGAGGAUUUUACUGUGUCCAGCAGAUUUCCACUGAUGCAGAGGAAUCUGUAGCUUUAGGCUGAUUUGAAUAAAAAUUGUAGUUUUAUUUAGUUUUACCAGUUAGUUUUAUUUAACUGGAAAUCUGUGUACUUUCAGUUCACUCAAAAAAAUAUUCUGCAUGCCAACCAGAAUCAGCUAAAAUCUGGAUCAGCAGAUCACAGCACAGAAAUAAAUCAGAGAUGGAAACAGAAACUCAGAUCUGUGAAACUGUGGAAUAACUGUAAUGACUUUAUUAUUUGUGCUCUUUAGAUCAAGCAGGACUCAUCGUAAAUGACCUUUUCUGGACUCUCUCAGUGUUUUUAUAUUAUACAGCUAUCGUACAAACAAGGAUUAAUAUUAAACCUUAAACUCUAUGGAGGUAACCUUAGUGACGUCUAUAUGGUGCGGUUAUGGAGAUAACUGCCACAUUUAAGUUGGUCUGGGUUUUAUUUCAGGGCAACAGUCGCCUCUGUUUCACUAAACCCAUUCAGUAAUAAACAAUCUACCACUGACACAUGAACCAAUGGCCUACAGUGUGCUCAUAAUGUCAGAGCAUUGUAAAGGCUCUGAGGGAACCUCUGUACAGAACCGUCUCUGUGAAUGGACUUGUGUGCAAAGCUGGUAAAGAGAGACUGUGUCUGCUGUCAUGCAUGAGUGAAGGACAUUAGACCCAUCAGGACAAUCUACGCUGCCUUGAACAAGGAAAGUUGAGGCAGCUCUCAGAGAACAUCAGGCCAGGAGGAGA